AUGAGCUACUCUCAACCACAAAGAUGAGGACCACUGGAGCAGGCGACUUAGACCAAUGUGGGGCCAGCUGGGAACCUGGGUGAUCUCAUGGAGUGGAGCCCAACUUUCUGCCCUGGACUGGUGAGGUGGUCCCUGGAUGACCAUUUCUACCCUUACACCUUCUGAUGAACACCAAUAAAAGCCUGGAGAAAAAGUAUCACUCAUUCAGUCUCAUGGGUUCUGACCGAGAACAGCAAUGUGCAAGCACAACUUCUCUAUCAUCCUUGGAAUCCUCUGUGGUACCACAGAUCGCCAACUUUGAGAUUUUAAAUCUGUGGUCUUCAAAUCAUGAGUACCAACCCAUGAGGACAUGCAGUCAGUAAACAGAUUCCACCUUACUGCACCCCGCCAGGCAGACAGAGUCAAGUUCACUAAGUCUCAUGGAAGGAGAAAAGAAGGAGAAGAUGGACAGAGUGCACCCUCACCUCUGCCUGCUCUUGGCCUCCAGGGUUGCUUCACGCCCGCCUCCCAAACAGAGGCGCUAAGCCACCGCCACAGCCCGGAUUUUCCUGCAGGCAGAGCCCGGCCUUGUUUUGACAGUCAUUUCUGCUGCUUUCUGCUUCUGCUUGGAAGGAGCACACAGUUGCAGAGGUCUGGGGAAGGAUGCCCU